rnacentral:rRNA from 1 species
GAUGAACGCUGGCGGCGUACCUAAUACAUGCAAGUCGAGCGAACAGACGAGGAGCUUGCUCCUCUGACGUUAGCGGCGGACGGGUGAGUAACACGUGGAUAACCUACCUAUAAGACUGGGAUAACUUCGGGAAACCGGAGCUAAUACCGGAUAAUAUAUUGAACCGCAUGGUUCAAUAGUGAAAGACGGUUUUGCUGUCACUUAUAGAUGGAUCCGCGCCGCAUUAGCUAGUUGGUAAGGUAACGGCUUACCAAGGCGACGAUGCGUAGCCGACCUGAGAGGGUGAUCGGCCACACUGGAACUGGGACACGGUCCAGACUCCUACGGGAGGCAGCAGUAGGGAAUCUUCCGCAAAGGGCGAAAGCCUGACGGAGCAACGCCGCGUGAGUGAUGAAGGUCUUCGGAUCGUAAAACUCUGUUAUUAGGGAAGAACAAAUGUGUAAGUAACUAUGCACGUCUUGACAGUACCUAAUCAGAAAGCCACGGCUAACUACGUG